ACGAACGCUGGCGGCGUGCUUAACACCUGCAAGUCGAACGGAAAGGCCCUGCUUUUGUGGGGUGCUCGAGUGGCGAACGGGUGAGUAACACGUGAGUAACCUGCCCUUGACUUUGGGAUAACUUCAGGAAACUGGGGCUAAUACCGGAUAGGAGCUCCUGCUGCAUGGUGGGGGUUGGAAAGUUUCGGCGGUUGGGGAUGGACUCGCGGCUUAUCAGCUUGUUGGUGGGGUAGUGGCUUACCUAGGCUUUGACGGGUAGCCGGCCUGAGAGGGUGACCGGCCACAUUGGGACUGAGAUACGGCCCAGACUCCUACGGGAGGCAGCAGUGGGGAAUAUUGCACAAUGGGCGGAAGCCUGAUGCAGCAACGCCGCGUGCGGGAUGACGGCCUUCGGGUUGUAAACCGCUUUCGCCUGUGACGAAGCGUGGGUGACGGUAAUGGGUAAAGAAGCACCGGCUAACUACGUG
rnacentral:rRNA from 1 species